CAGAGGGUAGUUUAAUUUAGAAUCUUAGCUUUGGG
rnacentral:tRNA from 3 species